AAUGGGGGCAACCCUGAUCCAGCCAUGCCGCGUGUGUGAAGAAGGCUUUCGGGUUGUAAAGCACUUUCAGUGAGGAGGAAAACCUUACGACUAAUACUCGUGAGGCUUGACGUUACUCACAGAAGAAGCACCGGCUAACUCCGUGCCAGCAGCCGCAGUAAUACGGAGGGUGCAAGCGUUAAUCGGAAUUACUGGGCGUAAAGCGCGCGUAGGUGGUUUGAUAAGCGAGAUGUGAAAGCCCCGGGCUCAACCUGGGAACGGCAUUUCGAACUGUCAGGCUAGAGUAUGGUAGAGGAGUGUGGAAUUUCCUGUGUAGCGGUGAAAUGCGUAGAUAUAGGAAGGAACACCAGUGGCGAAGGCGGCACUCUGGACCAAUACUGACACUGAGGUGCGAAAGCGUGGGGAGCAAACAGGAUU
rnacentral:rRNA from 1 species